rnacentral:lncRNA from 1 species
GUCACUUUGUGCAGGGUCCCCCCUGCCAUCUGUCCCAGAAGCCAGGGCUCUGUCCUCAGACCCCUUUGUCCCUUCCAGGGCGUGCUGCCCACAGGGCCGGCUCACCUCUCCUCUUUCUGGACAUGCCUUGCUGGAGGUAAAGUACAGGACUGCACCUAGGGCUCACGGAGCAAGGAGGCCGGCAGUAGUCCUGUCUGUCCUGCGGCCACUAGGGGACGCUGUGUGGCUGCUCAUGACGGACACGGAGCCUCUUCCACAGAAGAUCCAAGGUCAUCUCCUUCAGGAUUUGGUUUGCAAUCUUCGCCCACUGCUUUAAGGAUUCUUUAUU